AUGCAUGUCUAAGUACAAGCCUCACUAAGGUGAAACCGCGAAUGGCUCAUUAAAUCACACCUAAUCUACUGGAUAGUUAACAGUUACUUGGAUAACUGCGGUAAUUCUGGAGCUAAUACAUGCACAAAGCCUCGAACUUACGUGAGAGGCGCUUUUAUUAGAUCAAAACCAAACGUUUUCGAACGUUUUCUUGGUGACUCUGAAUAACUUUGGGCUGAUCGCAUAGCCUUGCGCUGGCGACAUAUCCUUCGAAGGUGUGCCCUAUCAACUGUCGACUGUGGCAUAGACGCCCACAGUGGUUUUGACGGGUAACGGGGAAUCAGGGUUCGAUUCCGGAGAGGGAGCCUUAAAAACGGCUACCACAUCUAAGGAAGGCAGCAGGCACGCAAAUUACCCAAUGACCGAAGGUCGAGGUAGUGACGAAAAAUAACGAUACGGGACUCUUCCGAGGCCCCGUAAUCGGAAUGAGUACACUUUAAAACCGUCCCCGAGGAUCUAUUGGAGGGCAAGUCUGGUGCCAGCAGCCGCGGUAAUUCCAGCUCCAAUAGCGUAUAUUAAAGUUGUUGUGGUUAAAAAGCUCGUAGUUGGAUCUCGGCAGUCUGAGGUUGGUGUACUUGCUAGUACUACUGCCCUAUAGACUGUAGUUUUGCCAGAGGUGCCCGGGUGCUCUUAAUCGAGUGUCCUGGUAUGCUGGCAGGUUUACUUUGAAAAAAUUAGAGUGCUCAAAGCAGGCUUUUACGCCUGAAUAUUCGUGCAUGGAAUAAUAGAAUAGGAAGUCGUUUCUAUUUUGUUGGUUUUCGGAAAUCGACUUAAUGAUUAAUAGGGACAGUCGGGGGCAUUUGUAUUCAAACGACAGAGGUGAAAUUCUUGGACCGUUUGAAGACAAACUACUGCGAAAGCAUUUGCCAAGAAUGUUUUCAUUAAUCAAGAACGAAAGUUAGAGGUUCGAAGGCGAUUAGAUACCGCCCUAGUUCUAACCAUAAACGAUGCCAGCUAGCGAUCUGCCGACGUUUUUUUUGUAGACUCGGCAGGAAGCUUCCGGGAAACCAAAGCAUUUGGGUUCCAGGGGAAGUAUGGUUGCAAAGCUGAAACUUAAAGGAAUUGACGGAAGGGCACCACCAGGAGUGGAGCCUGUGGCUUAAUUUGACUCAACACGGGAAAUCUCACCAGGCCCGGACACUGGAAGGAUUGACAGAUUGAUAGCUCUUUCUUGAUUCGGUGGGUGGUGGUGCAUGGCCGUUCUUAGUUGGUGGAGUGAUUUGUCUGGUUAAUUCCGAUAACGAACGAGACUCUGUCCUGCUAAAUAGUGUCGGCUUCUCUUUUGAGCCGAUAAUUCUUCUUAGAGGGACUGGCAACUCUCAGUUGCACGAGAUUGAGCAAUAACAGGUCUGUGAUGCCCUUAGAUGUUCUGGGCCGCACACGCGCUACACUGAAUAGAUCAGCGUGUUCUCCCUUUCUGAGAAGAACGGGUAAACCGCUGAACCCUAUUCGUGGUAGGGAUCGGGGCUUGCAAUUGUUCCCCGUGAACCAGGAAUUCCCAGUAG
rnacentral:rRNA from 1 species